rnacentral:rRNA from 1 species
AGCAGCCGCGGUAAUUCCAGCUCCAAUAGCGUAUAUUAAAGUUGUUGCAGUUAAAAAGCUCGUAGUUGAAUUUCGGGAUCAAUUUGCUGGUCGUGCCUCUGGUACGUACUGGUAUUAUUGGUUUCUCCCUUCUGACGAACCAUGAUGUCAUUAAUUUGAUGUCGUGGAGAAUCAGGACUGUUACUUUGAAAAAAAUUAGAGUGUUUAAAGCAGGCAUUAGCUUGAAUACAUUAGCAUGGAAUAAUGAAAUAGGACGUUUGAUCCUAUUUUUGUUGGUUUCUAGGAUUGACGUAAUGAUUAAUAGGGAUAGUUGGGGGGCAUUAGUAUUCAAUUGUCAGAGGUGAAAUUCUUGGAUUUAUUGAAGACUAACUACUGCGAAAGCAUUUGCCAAGGAUGUUUUCAUUAAUCAAGAACGAAAGUUAGGGGAUCGAAGACGAUCAGAUACCGUCGUAGUCUUAACCAUAAACUAUGCCGACUAGGGAUCGGAUGAUGUUAAUUUUUUUAAUGACUCAUUCGGCGC